GACGAACCGAGCAAACGUUAUUCGGAAUCACUGGGCUUAAAGGGCGCGUAGGCGGGCAUCCAAGUCUGUGGUGAAAUCCGGCAGCUUAACUGUCGAACUGCCGUGGAUACUGGGUGUCUCGAGGGAGGUAGGGGCGUGCGGAACUAUUGGUGGAGCGGUGAAAUGCGUUGAUAUUAAUAGGAACUCCGGUGGCGAAGGCGGCACGCUGGACCUCUUCUGACGCUGAGGCGCGAAAGCCAGGGGAGCAAAGCGGG
rnacentral:rRNA from 1 species